rnacentral:rRNA from 1 species
GACGAACGCUGGCGGCGUGCUUAACACAUGCAAGUCGAACGGAAAGGCCCUUUCGGGGGUACUCGAGUGGCGAACGGGUGAGUAACACGUGGGUGAUCUGCCCUGCACUUUGGGAUAAGCCUGGGAAACUGGGUCUAAUACCGAAUAUUUCCUGCUGGCCGCAUGGUCUGGUGGGGGAAAGCUUUUGCGGUGUGGGAUGAGCCCGCGGCCUAUCAGCUUGUUGGUGGGGUGAUGGCCUACCAAGGCGACGACGGGUAGCCGGCCUGAGAGGGUGUCCGGCCACACUGGGACUGAGAUACGGCCCAGACUCCUACGGGAGGCAGCAGUGGGGAAUAUUGCACAAUGGGCGCAAGCCUGAUGCAGCGACGCCGCGUGGGGGAUGACGGCCUUCGGGUUGUAAACCUCUUUCAGUACCGACGAAGCGCAAGUGACGGUAGGUACAGAAGAAGCACCGGCCAACUACGUGC